GGAGACAAAAUCUGAUUUAUUUAUCAAAGUAAACAGCCAACAAAAUCUAGUACAUUCGUCAACAAAUAUGACAUAGUACUUGAAUCCAUCCACAGAGACACAAGGUGCAGGCCCCCAUAGGUCACUAUGUACAACUUCAAAAGGUAUUACAGAUUUGGAAGUAGCUGGAUAGAAAGGAAGUUUACUAAAUUUGCCUUCUAGACAACUUUGACAAACUAUAGAAGACACAUCCUUAUUAACAGCAACAUUAGAUUUCCUAAGUGUAAGAGAAACAAUAGGAUUUGAGGGAUGACCUAGUCUGCAGUGCCACAAGUUUGAGGUGACAGUAUGUCCAAGACAGGCAACGGCUUGAUUUGCUUGUUUUUGAGGUAUAUGAGGUCUGGUAGUAAAGGAAGAAAUGGGAUACAAUCCAUUGUUGCAGAGUCCCUUAAACAAGAUUCUCCCUGUGGCUUUGUCCUGAAUCCA
rnacentral:lncRNA from 1 species